UUUAUUAACAAUAAAAUCCAUUUAUUUAUAACCAACGACUACCACCGUUCACUCAUACAUACACAUUGGAAGUUCUAAAACUAUAAAAUUAAAUACGGAAUCACGCACACAACGCAAUUGCUCACAUUUUAAUGGUCAUCGCUUCUCAACCUUUUUAGAGAGUGCCCGAAAACGGUGGACUUUUAAACUAAGGAAGGUCACUCACUGACUCACUCAUCACGAAAUCUCAGAAACUACAAGUGCUAGGAGUCUCAAAUUUUGCAUGGGGGUUCCUUUUAAAAAAAUAGGUGCUCAAUAAAACGGGAUUUUACGAAACUCCACCCCUAAGGGGGUAAAACGGGGGUUGGAAGUUUCUACGGCCGCUAGUAUAAUAUAAAUUGGUGAUAUGACCUAGUUUUGUUCGUAAAGGGGUGAAAUCUUACGAAAUCAAAACCGAGGGGUUUUCUAAAGAAAGGAACAUCUAUUGCAUGAAUAAUUUUGAGAGAAUGAAAGCUGGAUUUUACAAUUAAAUUCUAUACAUUAGACGAUUUUGGUGGAUCUUAUCCAUAAAGUAAUAUAGCUGAAUUUCCUCUAUUGACACUGACCUUAUUUACACUUGAUUACACAUCGCAGUUAGCAUUAUUUUUGCAAAAAGCUUCUAUAGUAUAAAUAUAGCAAAAUAGAUCAGUCAGUCAGUGUUUUGCUUGAAAUCUAGUCGUACAAAACUAAGUUUUCUCGUAUAAGUAUACCAUUUACAAAGUACGUUAAGAAAGAAUGUAGGUCUCUUAAUAUACUUUGCAAAAUUCAUUACUAUGUUUAUUUUUUGAAGUCGGUUAAAAAUUGCAUUGGCCUUAAGUUUGAGAAGCGAUGGCCUACAUUGAAACUAUUCGAAACACAAUAUAUGAGGGAGAAUUGAAAUCUAGUGAAGUUAAGGUGCCCACUCUCUUGAAGCAUUCGCGCGUAAUAAGGAAAUAAAUAUCCCUGUUUCCAAGUAAGCUUAUUAUAAUGUUGGGAAUGCCACAAUAGUCAAGCAGUGAAUGGGAAACGAACUAGCGGGACUAUUUCCACCUUUCGUUCCCACUGUUGCAACUCCUGUGUAGCCAGGAUCUACAGCUUGACCGCCAAUAACCCAACCAGUGAAGGCCAAGUUUGCCCUGUGGAUAGAACUAGAGACCCUUGAAACUAGAAUCGGCAGUCGAUGCCACCAUUGGACUUUUGCCGCCUAAAACUGUGUUAUGUUACACUCGAAUGCUAGCAAUGUGUGGUCACCUUAAUGUAGAGUAAGGAAGAAAAUUAUAGGGAGUAAAAAGAAUGUUAAGAAAAAGAAUAUAAUAGGUAGUAAGAAAUAAAUAUCCCUCUAUUUUACUGGCAUAAUUCAAUUUAAAAAUCUAUUUCGACAACACAUACAUAUUUACUACUUUUUAAAUGCAAAAAUAUACAGUAAAAAAGUUAACAACAAAAAAAUGUACGCUUUUUCGAGUCUCGUAAUGCAGUGAAAAAUAUUUCUUGAAUUUUUACAAGUUUUUCUUGAUAAAAUAUAGUUUUUUGAAAUGUUUUUAAUUCAUAAUUGAGCUAUUUUUUAUUUUUAAAGACGUGUGCGUCUUGUAUAAAUAAUGAACGAAUACAAUAUUUGCUUCUCACUCUUUUCCAAGUAAACGAGUGAGACGCAAAUAUGUA